AUUAGAGCCGUAAGGAAAUGAUAAAAACAAAAGGCACAAAAAAGAAGAAGGGGGGUGUGGGGAAGUAUGACGACAGUGUAUCCCACACAGCUUACGUACAGCUAACUUCCGGUUCCUGCCUUCCUCUUCUAUCUAUCUAUCAUGCCCUUUGCGUGAACUCGACACCAAUAAAUAUCACCACUUGACCCUAAUAAAAAAAAAAAGAAAAAAAAGAAGCCUAUUUCUUCUCUCCUCGGCCUCCUCCUCGAUCGGAUACUACCGAUCAAAUCGUCAUCUGAAACUACUGUCUCUCUGCGUUGGCUUCUGGCAGCUGGUGCGUUUCUUGCUUAGGGCAGAUGGAUAGUUCCAAAGGGAUCGCAUUGAUCAGAUCGAGCGCAGAUGCUGAAGUGAGCUUCGGUAUCCAGUUUUUCAAUCUCAUAUGCAUGCCCCUCAGAUCAUGCGAUCCCUUUGGAAUUUUCCAUCACUUGCUCUAAUAACUGAUUUCCUAUGUGGUUCCUGGUGCGUCGGAUUUCUCUUCAAGGCAGUGGUGUUGUGAACAUGAAUGCUGAUCUUUAUCGAAGUUCCGAGAUUGAUCGAGAAUCUAAAUAUAUAUGGAAUUGCUUCUGUGCAAGAAAUGAUCAUGCCGCGCGUUCAUUAGAGACCACAAAAUCAAGACUCGUUGAAUUCUCCGUGUCAUUUUCUCGACUUUUUGAGGCACACAGCAACACAUAUAUUUUGUUGACAGUUUUGCCAUACAUCGAUCACUAGCGCGCAUACACAUAAUUGACUCAGGAAUAAAUAUCCACUGGGGAGUCGAUAUUAAUUUGUUCCUGAGUCCAAGUUUAUGGUUUUUCCCGAUGCCGGGCAUCUUCUCAGUGUAAAGAGAUCAGAAGAACCACAAAGUUCAAUGUCAUUCUUGCAUGCAUAUAUAUAUAUAUAUAUAUUUUGUGUGUGUGUGUGUGUGUGUGUAUUAAAGCAUAGGAUAGGAGAUGGAUUGUUAAUCAGGGAGAUAAGAUAAGAAAAGAAAUGCUUGAUGCUUCCUUUGUUUCUUUUUGAGGAAAUGAUCCUUUUUCUUUCCCUUCUUCUUCCUUUUUUUUUUUUCCUUGGGCAUACGAAUUAUCUUUGCCUUUCUAAGGCAUAUACAUAUAUUGAAGGUAUCUUCCACUUUACAUAUAGUUUAUUAUCUUUAAAUAAAUAGAGAUUUAUUUAACAAAAGAAGAUUGAAUUCUCUAGCUAGCUAAGAUUCUGAUCCUUCAGGAGGCUUUCUCCUUUUUGAAAUAAUUAAUGCGUUGGAAACAAAAGGAAUAGAUUCUGAUUCUCAAUUCCUUGUUUGGUCUAAAUCUCCAUCAAAUCUGAUGCCCCUUCGACUUUCAUCAAUUGAUGCGUUCCUGAUCCGGUAAUACAUUAUGCUGAAGAAUACCAUGUAAGUUAUAUAUAUAUGUAUACAUCUCACAAACUUUAUGGUAAUGGAUCUUCUCAUUUUGGCUUCUCUUGAAAGCACUGGUGCAGCUUUUCCGUUAGUGGUUAACUGAAAAGCAUUUCAUCUUCUUUACUCACUAAUUAGUAUAUAUAGCGGAGUGUUUGAUGCCAAAAAAAAAAAAGACAGAAAAAAAAAGCCAGA